GGAAGUAAAAGUCGUAACAAGGUUUCCGUAGGUGAACCUGCGGAAGGAUCAUUAACAGUAACAUGGUUAUGCUUCUAGCAUAGACUGAAUGAAACCCACUCUGAGUACCUUUGCCUGUUGCUUCCGUAGGGCAUGACAUCUGUCACUCUUGAGCUUAAAAACCUCAAGGGAGUCCUUACGGGAGGUAUACUAUUGAAACUCUUGCACUUCAAUGUCUUCUGUCUGAACUUGUUUACAGCAAACAUUAAAACUUUCAACAACGGAUCUCUUGGUUCUCGCAUCGAUGAAGAACGCAGCGAAAUGCGAUAAGUAGUGUGAAUUGCAGAAUUCAGUGAAUCAUCGAAUCUUUGAACGCACAUUGCGCCUCCUGGUAUUCCGGGAGGCAUGCCUGUUCGAGCGUCAUUAAAACCCACUCAAGCUCUUUUGCUUGGUCUUGGAGGUGGAGCACCGCAACGUCCUCCCCUCGGAAAUGCAAUGGCGGAGUCACUCGCGUUCCCCAGCGUAGUAAGUUUAUCUUUUCGCUUGGUGCCGGGUGCGUUCCAGCCCUCAACCCCCAAUCAUUUAGUGUUGACCUCGGAUCAGGUAGGGAUACCCGCUGAACUUAAGCAUAUCAAUAAGCGGAGGA
rnacentral:misc_RNA from 1 species